GAACGCACCUUGCACUCCUUGGUAUUCCGAGGAGUAUGCCUGUUCGAGUGUCAUGAAACUCUCAAACCUCAUCUUCAUUGAUGACGGGCUUGGAUUUGGACGUUGCUGGACUUCACGGUUCGGCUCGUCUUGAAUGCAUUAGCUGACGAUUUCGACUUCAGUUAAACCGUGUGAUAAUACAUCAACGCGGGCAGCCGUCAAGGCGCUGGGUCGUCAUUCGAAGGCUUCUAACCGUCCCUUCGAGGACCGCCUUUACUGGCGUUUCAUUUCACAUCUGGCCUCGAAUCAGGUAGGACUACCCGCUGAACUUAAG
rnacentral:misc_RNA from 1 species